CCCGUGAUAGUUGCUGUGUCCUCUGCCGCUCUUUUUUCACAGCGUGGGCAGUGUGGGAGAGGAGCGGGUCAAGUGCUGCGUAGCAAUGGAAUGUGCCUAGCUGCUUUAACCCUUCAGAAAAAAAUCCGUGCAGUCUGAGUUGUUCCUGUGCUGAAAUUGGCUACAUCUCCGUUAGCACUAGACCAUCAACGGCCAUAGGUUUGGCCCGGUGCAGAUCCUCAUUAUCAGUGGCAGACAGUGCACAUCAUCAACAUCAUCAUCAUUCAUCAUCAUCACCAUCACCUAGCCAAAAGCCUCACUCAGGGCAGAGUUGUUCCUGUGCUAGUGUGCUGAUAGUUGGCUUCACCUCCAUUAGCACUAGACCAUCUAUGGCCAUAAGUUUGGCCCGGUGCAGAUCCUCAUUAUCAGUGGCAGUGACAGUGCACAUCAUCAACAUCAUUCAUCAUCACCCAGCCAAGCCUCACUCAAUGUAAGGUACCAAUAUCACCUCUACAAUGACUGGCAGCACAUCUGCAGAGGUUUCCAGUACUAUAUCUCCAAGUCCACCAGAACACAGCCAGAAAUCCACUUGUGUCCACACUGCCAACCUAAAGCAAGCAACAAUUAACGAGUUAACAAAACCGAAACAUCAGUGGGCAUCUGAUAACUCUCAUGCAGUUAAAAUUCACACUGCUAUUGGAAAGAUGAUGGCAGUAGAU